UCUCCGUUGGUGGACCAGCGGAGGGAUCAUUACCGAGUUUACAACUCCCAAACCCCUGUGAACAUACCAUUUGUUGCCUCGGCGGUGCCUGCUUCGGCAGCCCGCCAGAGGACCCAAACCCUUGAAUUUAUACAGUAUCUUCUGAGUAAAUGAUUAAAUAAAUCAAAACUUUCAACAACGGAUCUCUUGGUUCUG
rnacentral:misc_RNA from 1 species